rnacentral:rRNA from 1 species
GAUGAACGCUAGCGGCAGGCUUAAUACAUGCAAGACGAACGGCAAGUUGAGUAGCAAUACUUAACCUAGAGUGUCGCACGGGUGCGUAACACGUAUGCAACCUACCUAUAACAGGAGGAUAGCUCGGGGAAACUCGGAUUAACCCUCCAUAAUAUCAUUGACUGGCAUCAGUUGAUGAUUAAAACUCCGGUGGUUAUAGAUGGGCAUGCGUCUGAUUAGUUAGUUGGUGAGGUAACGGCUCACCAAGACGAUGAUCAGUAGGGGUAACUGAGAGGUUGAUCCCCACACUGGCACUGAGAUACGGGCCAGACUCCUACGGGAGGCAGCAGUAGGGAAUAUUGGUCAAUGGAUGCAAGUCUGAACCAGCCAUGCCGCGUGCAGGAAGAAGGCCUUCUGGGUUGUAAACUGCUUUUUGUCAGGGGAUAAAAAGCUCGUGCGCGAGUAAUUGCAGGUACCUGAUGAAUAAGCCACGGCUAACUACGUGCCAGCAGCCGCGGUAAUACGUAGGUGGCAAGCGUUGUCCGGAUUUAUUGGGUUUAAAAGGGUGCGUAGGCGGCCCCUUGUAAGUCAGUGCUGAAAAUAUCCCGGCUUAAACCGGGGAGGGGUGGCAUUGAUACUGCAGGGCUUGAGUACAGAUGAGGUAGGCGGAAUUGACGGUGUAGCGGUGAAAUGCAUAGAUAUCGUCAAGAACACCGAUAGCGAAGGCAGCUUCUAAGCUGUAACUGACGCUGAGGCACGAAAAGUGUGGGGGAUCAAACAGGAUUAGAUACCCUGGUAG